GGACUACCAGGGUAUCUAAUCCUGUUUGCUACCCACGCUUUCGCGUCUCAGCGUCAGUAUCCAUCCAGAUGGCCGCCUUCGCCACCGGUGUUCCUCCCCAUAUCUACGAAUUUCACCUCUACUUGGGGAAUUCCGCCAUCCUCUCUGGUACUCAAGCUAGGCAGUUUCGGGUGCACUUCCUCGGUUAAGCCGAGGGCUUUCACGCCCGACUUGCCAAGCCGCCUACACGCGCUUUACGCCCAGUAAUUCCGAACAACGCUUGCACCCUCUGUAUUACCGCGGCGGCUGGCAC
rnacentral:rRNA from 1 species